rnacentral:rRNA from 1 species
AUUGAACGCUGGCGGCAUGCCUUACACAUGCAAGUCGAACGGUAACGGGCCUUCGGGUGCCGACGAGUGGCGAACGGGUGAGUAAUGUAUCGGAACGUACCUUUCAGUGGGGGAUAACGUAGCGAAAGUUACGCUAAUACCGCAUAUUCUGUGAGCAGGAAAGCAGGGGAUCGCAAGACCUUGCGCUGAUUGAGCGGCCGAUAUCAGAUUAGCUAGUUGGUGAGGUAAAGGCUCACCAAGGCGACGAUCUGUAGCGGGUCUGAGAGGAUGAUCCGCCACACUGGAACUGAGACACGGUCCAGACUCCUACGGGAGGCAGCAGUGGGGAAUUUUGGACAAUGGGGGCAACCCUGAUCCAGCCAUGCCGCGUGAGUGAAGAAGGCC